UACGGAGGGAGCUAGCGUUGUUCGGAAUUACUGGGCGUAAAGCGCGCGUAGGCGGCUUUGUAAGUUAGAGGUGAAAGCCCGGGGCUCAACUCCGGAACUGCCUUUAAGACUGCAUCGCUAGAGUCCGGAAGAGGAGAGUGGAAUUCCUGGUGUAGCGGUGAAAUGCGCAGAUAUCAGGAAGAACACCCGUGGCGAAGGCGGCUCUCUGGUACGUGACUGACGCUGAGACGCGAAAGCGUGGGGAGCAAACAGG
rnacentral:rRNA from 1 species